AUCAUUUUCAACUAUGGAUGCCUUAAUUCAAACAACGAUGAAGGGUGCAGUGAAGUGUGCUAAUCAUUGUGACUUGCAGAAUUCCGUGAACCAAUGGGUUGUUGAAUGUGUCAUGUGCUUUGGGAUUCUUCCUGAAAGCAUGCCUUC
rnacentral:rRNA from 1 species